UGUGCUGUGGCUUAGUUGGUUAAAGCGCCGGUCUUUUUUUUUUAGUUUUUAUUUUUGUGUAUUUUAACUAGUUGCUAAUUCUACACUCAAAGCGCCGGUCUUGCAAAUACGGAGUCGUGGGUUCGAAUCCCACCAAAACGC
rnacentral:tRNA from 1 species